rnacentral:misc_RNA from 1 species
GAUGAAGAACGUAGCGAAAUGCGAUAAGUAAUGUGAAUUGCAGAAUUCAGUGAAUCAUCGAAUCUUUGAACGCACAUUGCGCCCGUCAGUAUUCUGGCGGGCAUGCCUGUUCGAGCGUCAUUACGCCCCUCAAGUCCCCUGUGGACUUGGUGUUGGGGAUCGGCGAGGCUGGUUUUCCAGCACAGCCGUCCCUUAAAUUAAUUGGCGGUCUCGCCGUGGCCCUCCUCUGCGCAGUAGUAAAACACUCGCAACAGGAGCCCGGCGCGGUCCACUGCCGUACAACCCCCCACCUUUUUAUAGUUGACCUCGAAUCAGGUAGGACUACCCGCUGAACUUAAGCAUAUCAAUAAGCGGAGGA